rnacentral:snoRNA from 1 species
GGGUAAUGAUGUUUCAUCCUAUUCCAUUGCUGAAAUGUAAUGUGGAAAAAAAAAAGCUGAACUC